AAUUGACCUCGGAUCAGGUAGGGAUACCCGCUGAACUUAAGCAUAUCAAU
rnacentral:rRNA from 1 species